rnacentral:rRNA from 1 species
AUUGAACGCUAGCGGGAUGCUUUACACAUGCAAGUCGAACGAGUGGCGGACGGGUGAGUAAUAUAUCGGAACGUGCCCAGUCGCGGGGGAUAACUACUCGAAAGAGUGGCUAAUACCGAAUACUAUUGGAGCGGCAGAUAUCGGUUUAGCGCGGUUGUGGGGUAAAGGCUCACCAAGGCAACGAUCCGUUGCUGGUUUGAGAGGACGACCAGCCACACUGGGACUGAGACACGGCCCAGACUCCGACGGGAGGCAUCAGUGGGGAAUUGUGGACAAUUGGGGAAACCCUGAUCCAGCCAACCCGCGUGUAUGAGAAGGCCUUCGGGUUGUAAAGUACUUUCAGUCGGGAGGCGUUACCGACAGAAGAAGCACCGGCUAACUCCGUGCCAGCCGCCGCGGUAAUUC